GCUGGGCAUGGUGGCGCGUGCCUGUAGUCCCAGCUACUCAGGAGGCUGAGGCAGGGGAAUUGCUUGAACCCGGGAGGUGGAGGUUGCAGUGAGCCGAGAUCAUGCCACUGCACUCCAGCCUGGGCGACAGAGCAAGACUCUGUCUCAA
rnacentral:SRP_RNA from 2 species